GGAUGAGAAGCUUGCUUCUCUGAUGUUAGCGGCGGACGGGUGAGUAACACGUGGAUAACCUACCUAUAAGACUGGGAUAACUUCGGGAAACCGGAGCUAAUACCGGAUAAUAUUUUGAACCGCAUGGUUCAAAAGUGAAAGACGGUCUUGCUGUCACUUAUAGAUGGAUCCGCGCUGCAUUAGCUAGUUGGUAAGGUAACGGCUUACCAAGGCAACGAUGCAUAGCCGACCUGAGAGGGUGAUCGGCCACACUGGAACUGAGACACGGUCCAGACUCCUACGGGAGGCAGCAGUAGGGAAUCUUCCGCAAUGGGCGAAAGCCUGACGGAGCAACGCCGCGUGAGUGAUGAAGGUCUUCGGAUCGUAAAACUCUGUUAUUAGGGAAGAACAUAUGUGUAAGUAACUGUGCACAUCUUGACGGUACCUAAUCAGAAAGCCACGGCUAACUACGUGCCAGCAGCCGCGGUAAUACGUAGGUGGCAAGCGUUAUCCGGAAUUAUUGGGCGUAAAGCGCGCGUAGGCGGUUUUUUAAGUCUGAUGUGAAAGCCCACGGCUCAACCGUGGAGGGUCAUUGGAAACUGGAAAACUUGAGUGCAGAAGAGGAAAGUGGAAUUCCAUGUGUAGCGGUGAAAUGCGCAGAGAUAUGGAGGAACACCAGUGGCGAAGGCGACUUUCUGGUCUGUAACUGACGCUGAUGUGCGAAAGCGUGGGGAUCAAACAGGAUUAGAUACCCUGGUAGUCCACGCCGUAAACGAUGAGUGCUAAGUGUUAGGGGGUUUCCGCCCCUUAGUGCUGCAGCUA
rnacentral:rRNA from 1 species